GGUUCUUAAGGGACCUCUAUAGUUCUCGGGACACCCUUCAGGAACUUAGACCUUUCUUUCAGUCUUUCUCCUGUCUGCCUCUCUCUGGGCCUCUCUAGCACACCUGUGCAGGGUAGUUCUUAGGUGUCAUAAAGAUGGGGCUCCCAGGAUGAGCUACCACUGUGGGCAAUUGCUUCUUUCCAUGGACUUGUCUCCUCUUGCCUGGAUUCAGCAGCCUAUCAGGCUGAGUCACAGACAGGGCUGCUGAAGGAACAAAUUGUACUGGCCUUUCCCCAGCAAGACUGCCUCACCCUGAAUUUCAGUAGGUCUUUUAACCCCUCCCAGAAUCUGUAGCCUUCCUGCCCAUUUUCCUGUUGACAAAUUCUGACUACCUGGCAUCCCGAUGCAGAAGGAACAUUCUAGGCCCUGAAGACCUGGGUUUUGUUUUGCCUUUUCACAAGCAAUCCUUAAUACCUCAAUUUUAGAAGUGUACUGUUUUCCUGCUGGAGGGAAGCCGAGUAUUAAAACUCAUUUUAGGUGGAGGACCCCAACAGCCCAACUGUCAGGGAGACUACUGUGAUCAGUGCUGUGUAGGAGGAGCUGGGAGGAAGGAUGUCACAUUCAAUUCAGAGUCCAUUAGGAUCCAGACGCUCCCCUGCAAUGACUUCCUAAUCCAGACAGCGCAUGCAAAUCCAAGAGUGGGAACGAGGGAAGCAUGAAUGAUUGGAUUAGCUGGUCGGCCUCCGUGCGCUUUUGCAGUAUCAGCAAUGUGCAGUUGCUGCAGCCCUGCCUCGGACCUGGGCGUGCACAUGGACACACAGACACGUUCAUUCACAGGCUGGGGAGGAGACCCUUCCAUGUCAUUCAGCCGAGAGGGCCACAGACUCAUAGACAAGAGGAGGGCUUCACCCAGGCCGGACACAGACAGAGGUUAUGAUUUUGAUGUGACAUCUAAGAAAUCUUCAACCUGGAAUCACAAGUUUUUGUUUAUAUUUUCUCCUACAGCCAUAGCAUCUCAGGACAUGUUUAGUGUGACAGAAUGAGAGUUUCUCGUCCGGCUGGUGUGGAGAUGAGGAAAACUUGCAGGACUUGUGAACGACAGCGGAAGCUGCAAAGUGUGGUGGAGAUCUCUGUCCUGCUGUUUAAGAAGUGGGCCUCCGAGGGUCUGAGCCUAGCCACCUAGAGGAGAGUGGUCUGGCCAUCAUAGAGUUCCUCAUGCCACAUCUCAUGAGCACUUACCUUCUCGUACAUAAAUAUCGGGCAGUGGAAUCGGAGCAUGUGUCCCCUGACUGGAAGCAGUGACAACCACGGCAGCAGGUUUAUUUUUAAAUAAAGAUUGGAAAGUUACAAGGC
rnacentral:lncRNA from 1 species